rnacentral:piRNA from 1 species
UCCUUCUGGUCCCACACAGGGUAGU